UGUCCACACACACUGAUGGGGAGGGGGGGGGGGGGACACGGACCAGGUAAAGCGCACACAUCACAGUGCACAAGGAACUAGUCCCACAAAAAAACAAAGCGGAAAUCACCUCAUUGGGGGUGGGAGACAGCACAGGGGUUCUGCAAAGAGACCUGCCUGCCUGAGGCCCCGCGGUCCCCGGUUCAAUCCCCAGAACCACUAUGAGCCGGAGCAGAGGAGGGCUCUGGGGAAAAAUGAGGUUAUCACUGGAGCUUGGUGCCUGCACUACUAUGCUCCUGGAGGCUUUUUUUUUGUGGAUAGCAGAGGGAAAUUGAGAGGAGGGAGAAGAGGAAGAGACACCUGCAGACCUGCUUCACCGCUUGUGAAGCGACCCCCGCACAAGCUGUUGCCCUCAGAUGAAGCUACCGCAGCCAGCCAUAAGGAAUGAGCAAACGGUGAGAACUCAACACAGUGCCCACAGCAAGGUUCCUUAGCCCGUGGGCCUCGAUGUCUCGAAGCACUGGCCAUGGAAGGAUCCUCACCAUGCUGCUGCGAAAGUGCUUCAUUCCAGGGCCAGUGCGGACACACAUGACCAUUCCCAAGGACUGGGGUUUGAGCCCUCGCUUCCCACCUGCAGGGGGGAAGCUUCACAAACAAGUGCGGCAAGUCUCUGUCUCUGUAUCUCCCCCUCUGCUUCUGUCCUGUCAAAUGAAAUUGAAAAGAAAUGGCUCUGGGAACAGUGGAUUUAGCCUGUAGGCACUGAGCCCCAGCAAUAGCCCUGGUGGCAAUUGGCAAAAAAAUAAAGUGCUUCAUGUCGUGA